rnacentral:rRNA from 1 species
GAUGAACGCUGGCGGCGUGCCUAAUACAUGCAAGUCGAGCGAACAGACGAGGAGCUUGCUCCUUCGACGUUAGCGGCGGACGGGUGAGUAACACGUAGGUAACCUACCUAUAGGACUGGGAUAACUUCGGGAAACCGGAGCUAAUACCGGAUAAUAUUUCGAACCGCAUGGUUCGAUAGUGAAAGAUGGCUUUGCUAUCACUUAUAGAUGGACCUGCGCCGUAUUAGCUAGUUGGUAAGGAAACGGCUUACCAAGGCAACGAUACGUAGCCGACCUGAGAGGGUGAUCGGCCACACUGGAACUGAGACACGGUCCAGACUCCUACGGGAGGCAGCAGUAGGGAAUCUUCCGCAAUGGGCGAAAGCCUGACGGAGCAACGCCGCGUGAGUGAUGAAGGUCUUCGGAUCGUAAAACUCUGUUAUUAGGGAAGAACAAACGUGUAAGUAACUGUGCACGUCUUGACGGUACCUAAUCAGAAAGCCACGGCUAACUACGUG